rnacentral:rRNA from 1 species
AUGGUUACUUGUUGGAAAGAUUUUUCGGUUGGGGAUGGGCUCGCGGCCUAUCAGCUUGUUGGUGAGGUAAUGGCUCACCAAGGCGUCGACGGGUAGCCGGCCUGAGAGGGUGACCGGCCACACUGGGACUGAGACACGGCCCAGACUCCUACGGGAGGCAGCAGUGGGGAAUAUUGCACAAUGGGCGGAAGCCUGAUGCAGCAACGCCGCGUGAGGGAUGACGGCCUUCGGGUUGUAAACCUCUUUUAGCAGGGAAGAAGCGAAAGUGACGGUACCUGCAGAAAAAGCGCCGGCUAACUACGUGCCAGCAGCCGCGGUAAUACGUAGGGCGCAAGCGUUAUCCGGAAUUAUUGGGCGUAAAGAGCUCGUAGGCGGUUUGUCGCGUCUGCUGUGAAAUCCCGAGGCUCAACCUCGGGCCUGCAGUGGGUACGGGCAGACUAGAGUGCGGUAGGGGAGAUUGGAAUUCCUGGUGUAGCGGUGGAAUGCGCAGAUAUCAGGAGGAACACCGAUGGCGAAGGCAGAUCUCUGGGCCGUAACUGACGCUGAGGAGCGAAAGGGUGGGGAGCAAACAGGCUUAGAUACCCUGGUAGUCCACCCCGUAAACGUUGGGAACUAGUUGUGGGGUCCAUUCCACGGAUUCCGUGACGCAGCUAACGCAUUAAGUUCCCCGCCUGGGGAGUACGGCCGCAAGGCUAAAACUCAAAGGAAUUGACGGGGACCCGCACAAGCGGCGGAGCAUGCGGAUUAAUUCGAUGCAACGCGAAGAACCUUACCAAGGCUUGACAUACACCAGAACACCCUGGAAACAGGGGACUCUUUGGACACUGGUGAACAGGUGGUGCAUGGUUGUCGUCAGCUCGUGUCGUGAGAUGUUGGGUUAAGUCCCGCAACGAGCGCAACCCUCGUUCUAUGUUGCCAGCACGUAAUGGUGGGAACUCAUGGGAUACUGCCGGGGUCAACUCGGAGGAAGGUGGGGAUGACGUCAAAUCAUCAUGCCCCUUAUGUCUUGGGCUUCACGCAUGCUACAAUGGCCGGUACAAUGGGCAGCGAUACCGUGAGGUGGAGCGAAUCCCAAAAAGCCGGUCCCAGUUCGGAUUGAGGUCUGCAACUCGACCUCAUGAAGUCGGAGUCGCUAGUAAUCGCAGAUCAGCAACGCUGCGGUGAAUACGUUCCCGGGUCUUGUACACACCGCCCGUCAAGUCAUGAAAGUCGGUAACACCUGAAGCCGG